AGAGUUUGAUCCUGGCUCAGGAUGAACGCUAGCGGCAGGCCUAACACAUGCAAGUCGAGGGGUAGCAGGAUUAAGCUUGCUUAAUUGCUGACGACCGGCGCACGGGUGCGUAACGCGUAUGCAACCUACCUUAUACUGGGGUAUAGCCCGGAGAAAUUCGGAUUAAUCCCCCAUAGUACUGUUUUACCGCAUGGUAAGACAGUUAAAGCAUUGCGGUAUAAGAUGGGCAUGCGUCCUAUUAGCUAGAUGGUGAGGUAACGGCUCACCAUGGCUACGAUAGGUAGGGGGCCUGAGAGGGUGGUCCCCCACACUGGUACUGAGACACGGACCAGACUCCUACGGGAGGCAGCAGUGAGGAAUAUUGGUCAAUGGGCGCAAGCCUGAACCAGCCAUGCCGCGUGCAGGAAGAAUGCCCUAUGGGUUGUAAACUGCUUUUAUUUGGGAAUAAACCUCUUUACGUGUAGAGAGCUGAAGGUACCAAAUGAAUAAGCACCGGCUAACUCCGUGCCAGCAGCCGCGGUAAUACGGAGGGUGCAAGCGUUAU
rnacentral:rRNA from 1 species